UAGAAGUAAGAUCUGAGAGGAGCUCCAUCAUGGCUGCCACAGAGACUCGGAGAAGUGAGAAGAGCUAGGCAGCUUCCUCUUUAUCCAAAGGAUGCCCUUCUACUAGAAUUGGUCCGAUGUUUUCCUCAUGGUGAGACUGGAGUUAUGGGUUUUGAAGAGGAAGAUUACAGAGGAGGCCGAGAAGAAGGAAGUGAUUCCAGAAAGGUAUCACCAUUCCUCAGUUACGAAACCCAAGUGAGACCACAAUAUCCUGACUUCCAGUCUAGAGCUAUCUGUAAUGCAAUAAAUCUCUUCACAGGAGCAUAUACACUGGGAACGGGAACUCUCACAGGGAGAUUCUCUCCCUUGUUGAUUGGAAAAAGCCAGCUGCCAUGUUGUGAGUAUCCCAUUUAAAAGGGCUAUAUGGCAAGGAACCGAGGGCAGCCUUCAGCUGACAGCCAGCAAGAAACCAAGAUCCUCAGUCUGGUAGCUUGCAAGGCACUGAAUUCUGCCAACAACUGCGUGAGCUUGGAAGUGGAUCCUUCCUCAGUUAAGCCUUGGACAAGACCCAAGCCCUGUUGGACGCUUUAAUUACAGCCUUGCAGAGAACCCAGCUAAGGCAUGUUCAGACCUGAUCCACAGAAACUGUGAGAUAAUCCAUGUGUGUUGUUUUAAGCCUCUAAGUGUGUGGUAAUUUGUUACACAGCACUGGUUAGCUAACACAGAUACCUAGACAGCUGGUAAAGCAUUAUUUCUGGAUGUGUCUGUGAGGGUGUUUCUGGAGGAGAUUGGCAUGUGAGUCAGUGAACUCUGUGGGCAAGAGCUGCCCUCAAUGUAGGUGGGCACCAUCCAAUGUUGUUUUGUUGUAUCUAGGGGCCCAGAUAAAACAAAAAGGCAGAGGAAAGGUGAAUUCACUCUCUCUCUCCUGAAGCUGGGGUACUUUUAUCUCUUGCCCUUGGACAUCAGAACUCCAGGUUCUCUGGCCUUUGGACUCUGGGACUUGCACCAGCUCCCGGCUUCUCAGGACUUCAGCCUCAGAUUGAGAGUCACUCCAUUAACUUUCCUGGUUUAAAAGCCUUUAUACUUGGACUGAGAAACACCAACAGCUUCCCUGGGCUUCCAACUUGCAGAUGACCUAUCACAGGACUUCUCAGCCUCCAUAAUCGCAUGAGCCAAUUCUCCUAAUAAGUCCCCUUUCACAUAUCUAUUUAUCUACAUACGUAUAUCCUACUGGUUCUGUCUUUCUCAGGAACCCUGACCAAUAUAGUAUGUAUCUCUAAAAGAUAAGGACAUCAAAAAAUAUUACCGCGUCUAAAAAUAAAGUGAUUUCUUAACGUCAUGAAAUAUCCAAUUGCUCUCCAAAUUUUCACAAUUACAAAAGUCCACAUGUUGCAUUUAAUUUUAAUGCCUCUUAAUUCUCCCUUAAUUUUGAGAUUGCCUUUUAAGUAAGGCAGUUUAGCUCCCUAGUUUCACUCUAGCCCAUCCAAGGUGUUUCCAAAAACCUCACCUUCACACUAACCACAUCCAUUAUAAGCUGCUUCUUAAACGAUGAGAGCUCUCACUCUCUAAAAGGAAUUCUAAGCAUACCUCUUAAAGUAAUAACAUAUUAUAUCUCUACUAAGUUUAUAAUCAUAAAGAAUGUGGGUAUUUGCAUUCUCAUUUUACAGAUGGGAAAAUUAGUGUAGGUAACACAUAUAGAGAGGUGAUAAAUAGCAAUGGUUUCCAAGAAUGAUGACGAUUUCAGUGUGAAACAGAGAGUAGCAAUGGCAAGAGAUACAGCUAAGUAAAUGUGGAUGGUGAGGGACCCAUUCUGCCUUGUUAAAAGGUUUGAACCCACCCUAUAGACAAUAAAUCACUCAGUGAAUCACUGAGCAAUUUUAAUUAUGGAAGCAAUGUGAUCAGAUUUAUAUUUAAGGCAAGAGGAUUGGUGGCAAUGUAGAAGGCAAACACAAGUCAGAAAGAGUUAGAAGUAAGAAAAGUGAGUAGUCUGAAGAAAUUGGACACAUAAGAGAUGAGGGGGCUGGAAUGACUAACUAUGCAUCUUAUUCUGAAAUAUGUCUCUUAGGUAAUUGAUUAUUGAUACCCCACAUCCAAAUAGUGGGACAGUUAACUGAGAUGUCAGAGCCAGCCUUUUCAACACUUCUAGAGAGAAAUUUUGCAAAGACACAUCUCUUGUACCUCCAUGGACUUUUAAUACAGAUAUGUUUAUCAUAAGAUAACCUUCUAAAGAGCUCAUGAUAGCAUAUGAUCAAACUCCUUAUUGUACAGUCAGGAGGAAUCAGCCUUGUUGAAGGAAGGGGCUUACCCAAAGUUACAAGUUGGGACAAAAUUUUUGCUUCCAAUUCACUGCUGUUCUUACUAGAACUGUUUUCUCCAGUCUCAUAGAAGUUCUGAGAAACAAUUAGGCCCACACUAUCAUCAACAGGCAAAUAUGUGUGCCUGACCAGACAGACAGAGAGGUAUUUUGAGAGAGGCCAGGAAUGAAACUGGUGAAGAGGCCCAGAGUUUCAAUCCUGUUCUCACUCAAGAUUCAUCAUCAUCAUCAUCUUUACUAUAAGGAAGAGGGCAUUUAAAAGCACAAAUGAGAUUGUUAGUGAUAAAAAGGUACUUAUACACCAGCCAAUUCCAUCCUCCAUUUUGCUGAGGCUCAAAGAGGUACAGUGACUUAUCUUCGGUUAUGUAUGCAACUAUUGCAGAGCUGGAUAUUGGACUUAGGCCUCCUGAAGCCCAGCACUGUGCCUGCAGGAGCAUUCCCAACUCCUGUCUUUCUGCUCAAUACAUGGGGAAGAGACGAACAAUUUAGGCUACUCAAAAUGUGGUGGGCAUUUGGGCUCUGGGGAGAGCUUCAGCAUCUCUUCUCUCUUUUCAUGUUCUCCAACUCCUCAAGCAACAUACACACAUAGCAUAAAGAUCACUAGCCAGCUAUUUUCUGUCUUGAAAAAUUUUUAUGAUAAGAGUUUUCUAAUUAGGGAAAGCCACAGUUCAUACACAAAACACAAAUUACUAGGCUCUUUGUCUUUUUCAGAAGAAGUAUUAAUCCAUAAAUAAAUAUACUCUGUUGCCAAGUCACUACCAUGCUGUAUCACAUGGCCAAAGGAUGCCAAAAGGUAUGAGCUCUUGGUGAAUCCCAGCUAUUGACAGCCAGGUGCUGGACCUUAACCAGAGGCAUUGCUAUAGGUGGUUAAGUAUAUGGGCUCUGGUCAGUGGUGACAAAGUUCCUGGGUUCAAAUCCCAACACCCCCAGUUACUAGUUAUGUGACCUUGGACAAGUUGAUUAAAAUCUCUGUACUUCAACUCCUUUAUUUGUAAUAUGGAAAUGAUUUUUUAAAUUACCUAUCUUCUGGGUCUAUUGCAAAAUUAUCUUAUUUAAUAAUAAGAUAAUCCACUUAAGGCACUAUAUGUGAGUUUUUGCAUGUAGUGAGCACUUGAACCAAUAGAGUAUAUUUCCUUUUGAAUGUAAGAAAUUCACAGAGACAGCUUCUCUAUAGUAAAGGUAAGAAUCAAAACUGAGUUUCUAUAAAUUACUUUGUAUUGCUUAGAGAAAGAAGUCAUGGCAAUAGAUUGAAUAUAUUUUAAUUUAAAGUAGAAAAUUAUAUAGGAAAAAUAGAUAUAUCUUCCAGAGCUCAGUCUCAAAGGCCACAUUUUCUUUUGAGUAUUUUAACCUCCAAAACAUACUUAGUAUGUGGUGAAAUUGCCUACUUCUGGGUUGAGUAAUGUGAGCUAUCAUUACCAUGGUAACAACAAGGCCAAUAACUUGAACUCCAGUCAUAGUAGCUACAAUAAAGGGGACUCAGUUUGGAAAUAAUUAGAAUCCAUCCUUUUUGAGACUGAAAUUCAUUGCCUUUAAGACUCAAUCAACAUUCCUGGUGGUAGUCUGGAAUCAGCUCAAAUCAAGAUACAUCUAUCUUUAAAAAGAAUAUAGGACAAGAAAUCCAAAAUAGGAAAAAAAUCAAAUCAUCUUAUCUUUCUGGUGCAUUUACUAGUCUGAUGAGUCAUAAGAAAAUAAUAACCCAGAGGUUAGAAACAAAGACAUAAGCACAAUUCCUUUCAUUCCAUGGGUAAAAUUGAA
rnacentral:lncRNA from 10 species